CCCCUCUUCACUAUCACCUUUCAUGGUAUCUCUGCUAGCUUUGGGACCUGGAGCAAGUUACUUCACCUCUCUGAGCCUUGGCUUCUGAAUUUGUGAAAUAGAAUAAAAAUCACAAUAAGACCAUAGUGAUACCUACAUUUCACAGUUCUAUUUCACAGUUCUAUGGAGUUUAAAGGAGACCAUCGUUGCCAGGCUGGAUUCAUCUGGGACACCCCAGGAGGCUCAGGGAGACCUGCAGAGAAGAGGAGGAGGAGGACAACGAACAGGGGUGGAGGAUCCCUGCCUGUGAAGCUGCUUUUCCUGCAAGACCUGCAGAGUCUGCCACAGCAGCAGACAGCCUGGGAGGCCAUGCAGCUGAAGGAACAUGGAGGAUGAGCAGGUAUGAGUUGUGUGUGCUAAAUUGGAAAGAAUGAGACUCUGCUAGCAAAAUGAAACGAAACACAAACAGAAUUCUCAUAGAAAAUAAAGCAGCUUGGAGACAUGCUUCUGGAAAUGUGAAGCAGACAUAUUUCCCGCGAUUCCUCCCACUAAGUGCAACUAAAACUCCUGAACAUUAGAUAAAAAAAAAAUAAACACAAAUGGCUAGGGGUGUAGCUCCGUGGUAGAGCACUUAAAGUGUUUAGCGUGUGCAAGGUCCCUAGUUCGAUCCCCAGCAAUGCAAAAUAACAAAAAAUAUUAAAGAGACUCUACAGAUGGACAGAAGGAAGAUGACUGGUUGGCUAGGAACCUCAGAAGCUGAGGAAGGACAUAGUGUUACAUUCCCUGAGCUUCUGGGCAGCCAAGUCACACUAGAGGGUACAGAGAGAAAAAAUGAAGCCCAAUUAAAGUAGCUUCUUUAGUCAAAGGGCCAGAAAAGAGAAAAUCUAUUAAGACAGAAACUUUUUAUGAAAAUCAUGGUAAAACAUGCAUAACAAAAUGUACUGCUAUAGUUUGAUCUUGAACGUCCCCCGAAUACCCUUGUCUUGAAGGCUUGGAGCCAAGGAGCUAUCCUGCUCAUCCGUCUCCCCAUUCCACUAGUUCUCCCUUGUGCUCUUCCUGCCCCGUUUUCUGUGUAGCCUUGCUCUCCAGCUCCCCUGCCCUGACAGGAAUUCAGGAGCUAUGGGGAGGUGGUGGAACCUUCAGGAAGUGGGGCCUUGUAGGAAGAAGUUAGGUUAUUGGGGGUGUGCCCAUGAAGAGUACAUGGGACUCUAGCCCUUUUCUUCUCUCUCCCUCUCUCUCUCUGAUUUCUGUACAUUACAAGGUGCACAGGCCUCUACCACCCUGUGCUCCCACCAUGAUGUAUUGUGCUGCCACAGGUCCAAAGCAACAAGGUCAAGUGACCGAGGUCUGAAAUCUGUGAAACUGGGAGCCAAAAUAAACCUUUCCCUCUUGUAAGCUGCUUAUUGCUGGUAUUUUGUCACAGUAACAUAAAGCUAACCAACACAUUUACCAUUAGCCAUUUUUAAGUGCAUUGUUAUGACAGUAAGUACAUUCACUCUAUUGUACAAUCAUCACUAUUCAUCUCCCAAGGCUUUUUAUCAUCCCAAACUGAAACUUUGUACCCAUUAAAUAAUAACUCCUUUUUACCUUCUCUUCUCCAGCCCCUAAUAACCACUAUUAUAUUCUCAGGCUCUAUGCAUUUAAUUAUUCUUAAUACCUCACAUAAAUGGAA